rnacentral:rRNA from 1 species
UGGUGGAGUGAUUUGUCUGGUUAGUUCCGAUAACGAACGAGACUCUAGCCUGCUAAAUAGACGGGCGAUCCCUUCGUGGGUCGACCCGAUUUGCUUCUUAGAGGGACAAGUGGCGUUCCUAGCCACGCGAAAUUGAGCAAUAACA